AACGAACGCUGGCGGCAGGCCUAACACAUGCAAGUCGAGCGAGGACUUCGGUCCCAGCGGCGGACGGGUGAGUAACGCGUGGGAACGUGCCCUUUGGUACGGAAUAGCCCCGGGAAACUGGGAGUAAUACCGUAUGGUGUCUUCGGACUAAAGAUUUAUCGCCAAAGGAUCGGCCCGCGUUGGAUUAGGUAGUUGGUGGGGUAAUGGCCUACCAAGCCGACGAUCCAUAGCUGGUUUGAGAGGAUGAUCAGCCACACUGGGACUGAGACACGGCCCAGACUCCUACGGGAGGCAGCAGUGGGGAAUCUUAGACAAUGGGGGCAACCCUGAUCUAGCCAUGCCGCGUGAGUGGUGAAGGCCCUAGGGUUGUAAAGCUCUUUCAGCUGGGAAGAUAAUGACGGUACCAGCAGAAGAAGCCCCGGNUAACUCCGUG
rnacentral:rRNA from 1 species